rnacentral:rRNA from 1 species
AGUGAACGCUGGCGGUAGGCCUAACACAUGCAAGUCGAACGGCAGCACAGUAAGAGCUUGCUCUUACGGGUGGCGAGUGGCGGACGGGUGAGGAAUACAUCGGAAUCUACUUUUUCGUGGGGGAUAACGUAGGGAAACUUACGCUAAUACCGCAUACGACCUACGGGUGAAAGCAGGGGAUCUUCGGACCUUGCGCGAUUGAAUGAGCCGAUGUCGGAUUAGCUAGUUGGCGGGGUAAAGGCCCACCAAGGCGACGAUCCGUAGCUGGUCUGAGAGGAUGAUCAGCAAGACUGGAACUGAGCCACGGUCCAGACUCCUACGGGAGGCAGCAGUGGGGAAUAUUGGACAAUGGGCGCAAGCCUGAUCCAGCCAUACCGCGUGGGUGAAGAAGGCCUUCGGGUUGUAAAGCCCUUUUGUUGGGAAAGAAAAGCAGCAGGUUAAUACCCCGCUGUUCUGACGGUACCCAAAGAAUAAGCACCGGCUAACUUCGUG